GACGAACGCUGGCGGCGCGCUUAACACAUGCAAGUCGAACGGAAAGGCCUGCUUUCCCUUGUGGAUUGCGGGUACUCGAGUGGCGAACGGGUGAGUAACACGUGAGUGAUCUGCCCCCAACUUGGGUAUAAGCCCGGGAAACUGGGUCUAAUUCCCGAUAGGACUGCAGGGUGGUGCCUGUGGUGGAAAACGAUUUUCUAGUGGUUGGGGAUGAGCUCGCGGCCUAUCAGCUUGUUGGUGGGGUAAUGGCCUACCAAGGCGGCGACGGGUAGCCGGCCUGAGAGGGUGGACGGCCACAUUGGGACUGGGAUACGGCCCAGACUCCUACGGGAGGCAGCAGUGGGGGAUAGUGCACAAUGGGCGGAAGCCUGAGGCAGCGACGCCGCGUGGGGGAUGACGGCCUUCGGGUUGUAAACUCCUUUCGACCGCGAGGAAGCCACCUGGUUGGAAGGGUGGUGACGGUAGUGGUAGAAGAAGCACCGGCUAACUACGUG
rnacentral:rRNA from 1 species